rnacentral:tRNA from 1 species
UANGAGGAAAAUCCGUCGACUUUAGAAAUCGUGAGG